UUAUAUGUUAAUUAACAUGAUAACAACAAUUAAACAAUCAGAUGAAAGGGAAAUUAGGUUUACGUGAACUUUGGAGGUUUGAAGAACUCAAACGUCAUCUUCUCUCCUUGCACGACGGCGCACCGGCGAUGAACCCUCCCCACUCUCCGUUUGAAAUUUAUCCUUCGCCGUUGAGAAUGGAUGAAUCAACCUCUCUCUCACGUGGGCUUGACGGCGCAACCUCCAACAUUCUUCUCCGACGAAAACAGUUCUGUUCGCCAGUCAACCUUGCUCAAGAAACCUCGUUCUCUCCUACGUCUCUCAAUCUCUCGCCAUUUCUCUGUUUCAUCCUCUCCGAAAGCAAAACGCAUAAACGACCAGAUAAAAGAGGAUACGAAAGCCUCUAUCGACGAUGAUGCGGGAGACCGAAUUUUUCUGCGAUUACAGAUUUGUUGGAUGUUGAUGUGAUUGCUUCAAAUUCUUGAUGAUGAUGAUGAUCAUGUCGUGUAGAUGUGAAUGAAGAUUUGAAGAUUGUUACCAUGAACGUGAAGAUAGAAAUCGGCACGCGGAGACGAUGGCGAAAAUGAUGUUGUUCUGUGAAGAUUGAAGAGCUUGUUACGAUUCGGUUAUGAUGAUAGAAACCAACGCUUGUUGUUGUAACUUGCAGCGUUCAUCAAGAUUCGAGGAUUGAUGUGCGAAGUUGUUGUUACACUUGUGAUGAAGAUUGAUGCCAAUUUCUCAGAUUUUGCAGGUUCCCGAUUGAAGAAUGUUUAUGAUUUUUUUCUGGUUUUUUGAUGAAGAAGGUUCUGCGGUCAUGAAGAAUGAUGAAGAUGAAAUUGAGUUCUGGUUGAAGAAAGUUCGAUGAUCAAGGUUUUGCCAAGAGGUUGAAUCCGGGAGAGAAAGUUUGUUACCAAAGCUGCGGUUUUAUUGCCAGGUGAUUGGUAGUUUGCUGGCUUCGGUUUUGAGACGGCAAGGUUGGUUUUGGUUUUUUUUCACGUUGCAGCAUGAUUUUUAGCUGAACUUUUGCUGCAAGUUGAUGGAGAUCAAAUUAAAAGGCUUGAAGAAUGUGGAAUAGGAUUAAGAACAAUGGGCUGAGGAUAUUUUUGUGUAAUUUUUGUAAUGGGCUUCUUGGACUUGAAUAUGGACUUUGUCUUUUGUAAAUCACUUUUUUUAUGGAAUAAAUGGCAUGGACUUUGAGAUUU